UCGAGGGGUAACAGGAGUGCUUGCACUUGCUGACGACCGGCGCACGGGUGCGUAACGCGUAUAGAACUUACCUUUUACAGAGGGAUNGCCUUUAGAAAUGAAGAUUAAUACCUCAUAGUAUUGAGACUUGGCAUCAAGACUUAAUUAAAGAUUUAUCGGUAAAAGAUGGCUAUGCGUCCUAUUAGUUAGUUGGUAAGGUAACGGCUUACCAAGACGUCGAUAGGUAGGGGUCCUGAGAGGGAGAUCCCCCACACUGGUACUGAGACACGGACCAGACUCCUACGGGAGGCAGCAGUGAGGAAUAUUGGGCAAUGGAGGCAACUCUGACCCAGCCAUGCCGCGUGCAGGAAGACGGCCCUAUGGGUUGUAAACUGCUUUUAUACAGGAAGAAACUCUGCUACGUGUAGCAGCUUGACGGUACUGUAAGAAUAAGGACCGGCUAACUCCGUGCCAGCAGCCGCGGUAAUACGGAGGGUCCGAGCGUUAUCCGGAAUCAUUGGGUUUAAAGGGUCCGCAGGCGGUCAAUUAAGUCAGAGGUGAAAUCCCAUAGCUCAACUAUGGAACUGCCUUUGAUACUGGUUGACUUGAGUCAUAUGGAAGUAGAUAGAAUGUGUAGUGUAGCGGUGAAAUGCAUAGAUAUUACACAGAAUACCGAUUGCGAAGGCAGUCUACUACGUAUGUACUGACGCUGAGGGACGAAAGCGUGGGGAGCGAACAGGAUUAGAU
rnacentral:rRNA from 1 species